AUAACACCUGGAAACAGAUGCUAAUACCCGGAUAACAACAGAUGAUGCCUAUCAACUGUUUUAAAAGAUGGUUCUGCUAUCACUCGUUGGGAUCGGACCUGCGGUGCAUUAGCUAGUUGGUAGGGUAACGGCCUACCAAGGCGAUGAUGCAUAGCCGAGUUUGAGAGACUGAUCGGCCACAUUGGGACUGAGACCACGGCCCAAACUCCUACGGGAGGCAGCAGUAGGGAAAUCUUCCACAAUGGACGCAAGUCUGAUGGAGCAACGCCGCGUGAGUGAAGAAGGGUUUCGGCUCGUAAAGCUCUGUUGUUGGUGAAGAAGGACAGGGGUAGUAACUGACCUUUGUUUGACGGUAAUCAAUUAGAAAGUCACGGCUAACUACGUGCCCAGCAGCCGCGGGUAAU
rnacentral:rRNA from 1 species